rnacentral:rRNA from 1 species
CCUACGGGAGACAGCAGUGGGGAAUAUUGCACAAUGGGGGGAACCCUGAUGCAGCGACGCCGCGUGAGUGAAGAAGUAUUUCGGUAUGUAAAGCUCUGUCAGCAGGGAAGAAGAAAGACGGUACCGGACCAAGAAGCCCCGGCUAAAUACGUGCCAGCAGCCGCGGUAAGACGGAGGGGGCAAGCGUCAUCCGGAUUUACUGGGUGUAAAGGGAGCGUAGACGGCAGGGCAAGUCUGGAGUGAAAGGCAGGGGCCCAACCCCUGGACUGCUCUGGAAACUGUCCGGCUGGCGUGCAGUAGAGGUUAUUGGCUUUCCUUGUGUAGCGGUGUAAUGCGUCGAUAUUAGGAGGAACACCAGUGGCG